UUUCAAAAGCCCUCUCUCUCUUUCUCAUUCGCACUCUCGCUCUUUCACUUUCAUUUUCAUUAUCGCUCUCUCUCUCUCUUCUCUCGUUCCUUCUCACUCUCACGAUUUCUCUCUUCUCUUUCGCUCUUUCUUUCUCACUCUUGCUCUGCCUUUCUUUCUCUAUCGCUAUGGCUAGCUCGUGCUCUCUCAAUGGCUCGCUCACCCCUCACUCAGUCUCUCUUCCUCCGUUGUCUUGCUGGGAAGGCAACAAAUCAAUAUUAUGGAAAUGAUUUGAGAUUUUAGAUGAUGCGAAUGUUGUAGCUGACAUUCAUGCAGAUGCUAAUCUAGGUAUCACUCAGGGGGGCCUAAAAGCCCAGCACAGCAACACCUAAGCAGCAACAAAACGAUGCCUGGACACACCCAUGGCAUCAGCAUACAAAAUAUCUUUCAGGAAGUCAGGAACUGUCUCAUAGAGAUGAAUCCCAGGACCAAAAUCAAUGCUCCUAGCAGAUAAAGCAUCAGCAGCAAAAUUCUGCUCACGAUAGAUAUGGUUUAUAGAACAACGCCAAUCCUUCUUGAUCUUUGACUUGCAACAAACUAUGAUGCUGAAGAGGGGAUGAGUGGGACUAAUCCCUUUCUUUUCACUUCAGCAGUAUCUAAUUGCUUCCAAAUCACCAACAAGCUCAAGUGUAAAAACUCUGUUCAGUUUCAAUGACGAUUGUGUUGUUGA